UACGUAGGCAGCGAGCGUUGUUCGGAGUUACUGGGCGUAAAGAGUGCGUAGGCGGUUUUCUAUGUCGGAUGUGAAAGCCCUCGGCUCAACUGAGGAAGUGCAUCCGAAACUGGCAGGCUAGAGUACUAAAGAGGGUCGCGGAAUUCCCGGUGUAGAGGUGAAAUUCGUAGAUAUCGGGAGGAACACCGGUGGCGAAGGCGGCGACCUGGUCCGUGACUGACGCUGAGGCGCGAAAGCGUGGGGAGCAAACAGG
rnacentral:rRNA from 1 species